ACAGUUACCACGCAGUAGCAGCUGAAACACUCUUGGAACAGUUUCUCCAUGUUGAAGAAGACAACAGCUUUGGUGUGUUGAGCAGCACAUGGCAGCAGGAUCUGCAAAAGAAUAACUCAACAAAAACAAGAGCAUUCAUCUAAAAUCAAGGUGAACAUCAGAUGAAGACUAGCAAAUGCUGAUGAGGUGUCCAAGACUAACAUGGAAAUGGCCAGUGGCACAAAAAUGAAAACUGAUGGUUUCUUCAAGGUAGGUUCCUCAAUACUGCAGCUCAGUCUGAGCUGUAGGUGAGUGGAUUCAUUUACUACCAUAUUGGUUACCACGGGGACAUAAAACUCUGUGUGUCUGCUAAAGAGUCACCCUUUAUAAGUCUUACUCUCAAGAUGAAGUCAUUCAAGUGAUCCUGGGCUUGGCUCCUAUGCUGUUCCAGGCUUUCUGAGUUUAUUUGCAGCUGAACUUUUUCCAUCUUUCUGUAGAUAUGAUGAAACAAGUUGGAGGUUUCUUCACUGGUUAUGGCUCCCUAUUUUUUGACACACUGCUUCCAACUUAGGAUGUUCUGUGAUUCUAAGAUUCUAUGAUUAUUCAUUUUUGUUGCAUUGAUAGUCUUUGAGUGGUGUUCAUAGAAUUUGUGGCCUGGAGAAAGGAACGCAUCAGUAGGUAUGCCUACCUGGCAAAGUCUGCCUAACAUCUCUCCUUAUAACUUGGUACUAGCUAUGGAUUUUGCAAGUGCAGAAGGGGCCGGAUUUUGCUAAUGAGAGUUCAUUAACUCCUUUGAUUUAGUAACAGCAAAAGUAGUUUUCUGAGACAGAAAAAAGUGUAAUCUGAGCUAAGGAGGCCUUGUGAAGUAAGCAAAGAACAACAGAAGGUGGAAAGAUGGGGCAAAACUUCUAUUUCUUUUUUGUUUGUUUGUUUGUUUGUUUGUUUUUAGGUAUUAUUCCAAAUUCUUGUUGACUUUAACAAGAUUGUUUUAAUUUGUGUCAGGCUGCACAAAUGUCAGAGUUCUUCAACAACAGAAUAGAUAAGAAGGGAAUCAUCUGGAGCCGUAUUCAAUGUUUGAACGCUCUCUCAGCAAAAGGGAAGAACUUUUAGUGAUAUUUAUUGUGGAGAAACUUAAAAUUAAAGUAUAUUGGUCCUUAAAAUGGCGAUUGAAUAGCAAAAAGUUAGCAUAUUCUAGCUUUAUUACUUGUGGAACGGUACAGAAACCUGCUCUGGAUGCAAGUGCGGAAAUGGGAAUUUUACCAUUGGUUUUAAUAUAUGUAAAAUUCAGCCCUGUCUCUUUAGCUUCUUUCCUACACUGGGUUGGUUAUUGAUCCAGACCAGGUGAUGAGCCAAAUGAAGUUUUAAAAUAUUUAAAAUGUGUGAAAGAGAAGAUAAUAAGCAUACACUAUUUUUCCUAGGGAACGUCUAGAUGUUACUAUUAAAAGAGACUGACAAAAUGUGUAAUCCAAACAUUUGUGUCCCAACAGACAGUUCAAAUUGAUUCUAAAUAUGGAAAGUUUGUAGAUCAUCCAAAACCAAGUGAAAAUCUGAGAAUCUGGAUUCUGCUUUGCAUUUUGGAAAUGUUUUCCCAGUUUGGGACGCAGCCUGGUCUGGAAGAAUGCUCAGCACGAGGAAUCAGGAAUGACUGGGGAACCUGCCAGUGACCAGCUGCGUAGCCUUGGGCAGUCAUUCAGCUCCUCAUCUCGCUUCCGCCUCGCACAAAGUGAAGCUCAGUGCAUGCAGAGGGUGAGAAGCUGGAGAGCAGCGAGACAGGGUCCUUGCUGUCUUUCUUGAGCCUGCCUUCACGUGGAACAGCAAUGUCAUGGUUCUGCAGGCACUUGGCUCCACCUUGCUCAGGGAAAUAGCAAGAGCCACACUUGGCAAGUUCAACAUUUUAAAAACAAACAACCAAAAAGCCCUUUACAACUGUCAGCAAACUUACCCUUAAUGAUCUAAGAUUGCCUAAUGCGUCAGAUUGGUUUCCUUUUCCAGAUGUAAGAAAGGUGGUGACUUAUGAAGGAGAGGUUCUCACUUGUGCUUUUGUGACUUCAAAGACUGAAUCUGGUAGAAAAUGAAUCAGACUUGCGCUUCUGUGUCAGUAUCAUUUGUGAAAACUCCACCUAAGAGAUCUCUCUACAGACAGAACUGGAGCAAAACCAAAAGCGAAGCCCGAGCCUCGCAGUGGCCAGGCUGCGUGCUAACCGUCAGACAGAAGCUCCAUCAGGCAUUAAUAGAAGAAACUGCUCAUGUGGAAGUUGUACGAUGGCAAUACUACAUCCCAGAGGACAAUUUCUGUUAUUUGUUAUGUAGCUUCAACUCUACUAAGCCUAAACCCACAUCCGGCAAAGCUUUUCCCAGAUUACUCUGGCUCUUGUGCAGGCUAGAUGCAGUGCUUCGUGUCAUUGCAGAGGCUGGGUCAUUCUUCAUGUCUCAGGGCUGGAUUUCAGCGGGUGCAACUUGCUAUCCUUAGUGGCUUUGUUCUGGACAUCUUCAGAUUUGUAUGUGCCUAAUGUAUUUUAUCUGGUUUCAUAGCCUUGGAAGAAAAAAUGUCUUCCUAGUCCCUAGUAAACCCUUUUUCUUUACUGAAAAUCUUCAUGCUUUAAGUAUCUGAAUUUUAAUCUGUUAUGCCUCCUAUUGCCACCCCCUUCUUCCUCUAGCAACUUCUGGAAACUUUCCAACAGACAAUAAACCAAAAAAUCUAGGCUGCCAGUUACUAAUUCAGGUUCACUGAAUGUGAUGAUAACCCUUAGCAAAGUUCCUCCAGCACUUGCACUCCACCUUGAAAAGACACACUGUCUGUCUCUUAUGCCAGCCUUUGCUCUGGGACACUGGAAGUGCCAUCAGGAAACUGCCUGUAUCACUGCUGACACCAUGUAAAACUUCGUUUCUGAUCUGCUGUGCUUCACUGCAGCGUCAGCCGUGCACUUCCACUGCCACUGAAGGUUUACUUACCUUUCUAUUCUCCAUUCAAGCGCUAACUAGGUUUCACCUCUAAAAACAUAAAGAGAAGAAGGUAAGGCACAGACAAAAGCCUGUCUUCUCUCUGAUCUGCCUGAAAAAGCGAAAGGGUCAAAAGCAGAUGAUGAGUGUAUUUCCAAAUCUGAAUGCUUUACUUAAUAAUUACAUAUUACAAUAAUUAUGGUUUGGGAAUUUUGUUUGUUUUUUAAACAAAGUUCUGCUCAGUGUUGUAACUGAUCUAACUUUGCGAGGAGCUUAUCUUCACUUAUACUCACUGGGGAAUGAUGGUGAAACAUGUUGCUUGAAAUCCUAAGUACUAUUCAAUAUAUUUUAGUGGAACUGGGGUCUUUUCUACAACUGGAGAGGCUGUGACUAAGUACUUUAGAUGAAAUCCUGAUGCUGUAGAUGACAGACCGAAGUUUUGUUGUUGUUGUGAAGUAGAUUAGGAAUUUACUCCUAGAAGAAUGAGAAUUAGAAUGGUAUUCAGGGGAAAUAAUAAUUUUUUACUUGUGUGUGAUUUUUUUUUCCUAAUUGUGCUAAUCUUAGAAUGGAUCCAUUUAUACAAAAUAUCUGAUUAUUUGGUUGCCAUGAUGGUUUGAAUGGCGAGCGCGAUGACUAAGGAUUGAUGACCAAGGAGGCCUUUCUUUCUUCUGUUUGGAAAAGAGUUUGUGAGCUCUGCCUGUGUUCUAACCCAGUCCAAAACCACUAAAGAAGUAGAUUUGUUGGUAGAUAUGUUGUCACUAAAAGGUUACACUGUAGAUUGCCACUCCACUGUACACAGGAAGGGACAGAUGUCAUAAUGACAUGGAGAAUUAAAUAUUGAGAGCACAACACAGAACAACAUUCUGAUUUCAUUUGCUUUUGUACAGCUGUACAGAGGCACGUCACAGCAACACCGAGUGGCUGUUUUUCUCCAUAUUCAGAUGGCUUAUAUCUGUUACACUGUACUGUACAUUUUUGCAGCAGUGUGCAGGAACCUGGAGUUCAACAGCCUAAGCUGAUGUUCAACUCACUCUGCUCCAUCUUACAUAGAGCUGACAGAAGCAACAUCUUGUACUGGUCUGUCUGAAGGGUGCUGUUACUGAGACUAACUUGCCUGCAACAGUCUAUUUCUGUUGCAGCGUGUUGUAUACCAAGCAAGGUAGCCUCAUUUGAACUGCUUUUGGGGGUUAAAGAAAGGCCCAGGCUAACUCUUGAGACAUGCCCAACAGCUGUUUCAGGGAGCACCGGUUGGCUUGGGCCAACACCACGUCAAGAAUCAAUCUAAACCCUUGGUGGCACAGGCCUUCAUGUUCUGGAACCCAGGAACAUUCUUAAAACAGCUAGAUAUUUACUAUUGGUGAAUCUCAAGUGUUACCUGGCACAAAAUGUGCCUUGAUGAAUGUAUUUUUUUUAAUAUUGAAAACAAAGGUUUUUUAAAACCUCCCAGCUGUGUCAAUAAAUGCAGAUUUGAUUGCCUUAAAGGUGCACAAGUGUAGCAGGAACAUCCAAAUGUGGUGCUGAUGAGACUAUGAGGAAAACAAAAACAGUGAGAGCUCUCCUGGCACCCCAGAAUGUGAGCGGUUAUUGAAGCUUUCGACACCUGAGUUGAUGAUAGGAAUAACUAAAUGUGCCACUUUGUCAUGUCUGUGCACUGAGUGCCUUUACAGGAGGGGCUGUGUGGUCCGUCAGGAAAAAUAAAUGACAGGAAAAAAUAGAAUGGAGAAGGAAUGAUACUUAAUUUAGAAAGGAUUUACAGUGCAAAUUAUUUUCCCCCGCAAAAGGUACAACAUUCAAAUUUUCAACUUUUUAUGGUGGUUUGAAAUAGGAAUUGCUUUUGAUCGUCUUGAAAAUUGUGUUAGAGCAGGAAAACACGUAGCUCUGAGCAAAAUACUACAACAAACCUCCCAAAAGCCAUUCUGCAGCCCACCAAAAGUUCUGAAAAAGACUUGCAGGAAAAGUUGACUUUUUUUUUUUUGCAGGAUAAGUUUGCAUGACUAAAAGAGCGUUGAAAGAUAGCCAAGUAAAGGCUCAAGGAGCUGCAACUGUGGUGAGGGAAGCGGGUGGACAGAUCUCUGUAUACAACAGUGCUAGGAGAUGUGGAAUUGCUAAAAUAGCCCCUGCCUAAUGUAAUCACCUUACAAAGAAUGUUUGAGAGGCAUUUUGUCAGCCAAAUAUAAACAAAGGCUACAUUUGAAA